UACGAAGGGGGCUAGCGUUGCUCGGAAUCACUGGGCGUAAAGCGCACGUAGGCGGACUCUUAAGUCGGUGGUGAAAUCCUGGAGCUCAACUCCAGAACUGCCUUCGAUACUGAGAGUCUCGAGUCCGAGAGAGGUGAGUGGAACUGCGAGUGUAGAGGUGAAAUUCGUAGAUAUUCGCAAGAACACCAGUGGCGAAGGCGGCUCACUGGCUCGGUACUGACGCUGAGGUGCGAAAAGCGUGGGGAGCAAACAGG
rnacentral:rRNA from 1 species